UCGCACAAAGAGAUGUUCGGUGCCUCACCACGUACGCAAAGCGUCAGAGGAUAACCGGGAAUGCGGUAAGGCCGGAUCCCAUCCGGAGGGCCAAUUCCGCAGCCGCCCCCGCGACUGUAUGCGGCGAGCGUGCCCCUAAAAACCACUGGGAAACCGGGAAGGUAGGGGAAACGCAGCGACCCGCGAGCCAGGAGACCGACCGAGCACAGUUGGAAACC
rnacentral:ncRNA from 2 species